GUAAACCUGAGAAACCCAAAAGAUCGAAUGGGGGGAUUCAUCGUCAGCGGCUCCGGCCUCCCGUCUGCGCGUGAUGCCCCGACCACGGACCUUCGCGGUUCCGCGGCGAGGGCACGCCGUCUUCGGCGAAUGUCUGGAGCCGUAGUCGUGCACUUCUCCUCUAGUAGAACGUCGCGACCCGUUGAGUGUCGGUCUACGGCCCGAGUGGACGCCUGCCACGUCGUCUCGUACGUACGCGGCAGACCCUCGGUCGCCCGGCCGGCUGCUCGGCGGUACUCGCACGGUAUCGGGCCGCAACCAAUCCAUCUUGAAUGUGUUUGCGUCGGGCCCGCCGCAAGCUGGUUCAGCAACUCCGGAGGUCGGACUUAGGGCCGUCCCCGGGACUGGCCAGCUGUUGGCAGGCGGUGUCCUCGGACUGGCCAAGCUUCGAAUUACCGGUCGGCGACGCUACUGCUUUGGGUACUCUCAGGACCCGUCUUGAAACACGGACCAAGGAGUCUAACAUGUGUGCGAGUCAUUGGGACAGAAAAACCUAAAGGCGAAAUGAAAGUAAAGGUCGGCCUCAGCGUCGACCGAGGGAGGAUGGGCCGCGUCACGAUGCGGCUCCGCACUCCCGGGGCGUCUCGUUCUCAUUGCGAGAAGAGGCGCACCCAGAGCAUACACGUUGGGACCCGAAAGAUGGUGAACUAUGCCUGGUCAGGACGAAGUCAGGGGAAACCCUGAUGGAGGUCCGUAGCGAUUCUGACGUGCAAAUCGAUCGUCGGAACUGGGUAUAGGGGCGAAAGACUAAUCGAACCAUCUAGUAGCUGGUUCCCUCCGAAGUUUCCCUCAGGAUAGCUGGCACUCGCUCGAUCGAGUCUCAUCUGGUAAAGCGAAUGAUUAGAGGCCUUGGGGCCGAAACGACCUCAACCUAUUCUCAAACUUUAAAUGGGUGAGAUCUCUGGCUUGCUUGAACUAUGAAGCCACGAGAUUUCGGAUCAGAGUGGCCAAGUGGGCCAAUUUUGGUAAGCAGAACUGGCGCUGUGGGAUGAACCAAACGCGGAGUUAAGGCGCCUAAGUCGACGCUUAUGGGAUACCAUGAAAGGCGUUGGUUGCUUAAGACAGCAGGACGGUGGCCAUGGAAGUUGGAAUCCGCUAAGGAGUGUGUAACAACUCACCUGCCGAAGCAACUAGCCCUGAAAAUGGAUGGCGCUGAAGCGUCGCGCCUAUACUCCGCCGUCAGUGGCAAGUGGGGCGGGACGUGUCCCACUCGUUGGGCCGUCCUCCAUGAAGCCCUGAUGAGUAGGAGGGUCGCGGCGGUGUGCGCAGAAGGGUCUGGGCGAGAGCCUGCCUGGAGCCGCCGUCGGUGCAGAUCUUGGUGGUAGUAGCAAAUACUCCAGCGAGGCCCUGGAGGACUGACGUGGAGAAGGGUUUCGUGUGAACAGCCGUUGCACACGAGUCAGUCGAUCCUAAGCCCUAGGAGAAAUCCUAUGUCGAUGUGGCGUUGUGCCAAAAACUAUAUAUAUUGAACUAUACAAGACACACGCCCGUCGGGCGAAAGGGAAUCCGGUUCCUAUUCCGGAACCCGGCAGCGGAACCGCAUACCAUUCGGGCCCUCGUAAGAGUGUUCGUCGGGGUAACCCAAAAUGACCUGGAGACGCCGUCGGGAGAUCCGGGAAGAGUUUUCUUUUCUGUAUAAGCGUUCGAGUUCCCUGGAAACCUCUAGCAGGGAGAUAGGGUUUGGAACGCGAAGAGCACCGCAGUUGCGGCGGUGUCCGGAUCUUCCCCUCGGACCUUGAAAAUCCAGGAGAGGGCCACGUGGAGGUGUCGCGCCGGUUCGUACCCAUAUCCGCAGCAGGUCUCCAAGGUA
rnacentral:rRNA from 1 species